UUUCCUUAAUAAAAUCUCUGGUAAAACAGUCUACCUUUUGCUUUGUCUCCAUUCGUAACCUCUCGUUAUUUAGUACUUUUGAUUUUGAUUUUGAUUUUCUAUUAAGGUUUCAAUUUGAUUUCAUGCAAAGCUCAACAAACUUGCUGAGAUCGUACAGGGCCAGCAGUGAAUUUUGUGCAGAACAAAACCAUAUUAUAAGAUUCAGUUGAUAAGAAAUGCCUAGGGAAUUGUCACAUUCACGGUCGCGAUCACCCACAUAUAGGCGCAGGCAUUCACCUUCGCCUAGGUAUAGCAGGAGGAGCCGGCGAGAUAGAAGUCGGUCACCAUAUUCAUCAUAUUCUUCGAGCAGGUGAUCCCGUUUGUAUUCUCACUCUUUUAGAUUAAUGCGUUAAUUAACGAGCAAUUUUAAGAAAGAUUGGGGACACACUUAUCUCUCAUGCGGAUUGGAAAUCCAAUAUCUUGGAGUUGAUGUGUACGCAUCCUAUCGUUCUCUGUUGGUCCUUUGGCGCUAUUCUGUUUUGCCUCAAAUAAAUCCUGUGAGUUUGCUCUGAAUGAUAUCAUAUUUAAUGAAACAUUAAAAAAAAGAAUAGAAAAAAGAAGAGAGAAAUUAAAUAAAUACAAAUGUUUGAACUUCUUGAAGUGAAGGAAUUAGAAGGAGUGGUCGUUGGAUGAUUUGGAUGCCAAAUUUAAGGUAUUACUGCUGUUGAUAUUUUAUAAGGUGGAUGAAUUUUGGUUACUUGUCUCCUUGGUAUCAGAUUAUUUAUCAAGACCUACAACCCUGUUUCCUGGAACGUUUAUCUUCAAGUUGUUCAUUCUGCUGAAUCUUGUUCUGAAUCAGGAAUUUUUAUGUGGAAAAUUAGCCAUUGGUCAACAAACAGUGUUCUUUCUUUAGUUUUUUCAGGUGUACUAGAUGGAUAGCUUGAUUGGUUACUUUGGUAUAUUCAUGAUGUAUUUUCUUUUAUGAUUUUUUUCUCUCAAUGUGUUCUAUGAGCACCUUUAUGGUAUAUAAACUUGUAAUGACAUUAGUUCUAAUUUCUGUUAUUGUUAAUUUUCCUUUUUUUCAAAAACACUUGAUGAUUAUGUUGUUUGCUUUUGUGCAUUCAUCAACAUCUAUGUUGCUACUGACACUCCUGGAGAACUGACCUUUUGUAUGGUAAACUAGAAAAUUUUCCAACAUAAAAUAUGUUGAUAUAUACAAAUUUUUGAGGGUCAGAUAGGAUGCAUGUGCUUCAUUAUAAAAUUCAAAACUCAGUUUCUUCCCAUCAUGUGGGAUGGGAAGUGAGCAGGUGAUGGAUGUUGAUGGGUUUCCUUUUGUUGCUCAACAUUAGCUUCUUCAUGUGAUAAAAGUUGGAGCACGUUCUUAACAAUGUGUGAGGUAACUGUAUAUGCUUCUGUAUUAAUUGCUGUAGAUGAGAAGCCUGGUUGAUGUUUUAUUUUGUGAUGCCCAAUAUUUUUGCUGUUGCUUAAUAAUUAUUAUGUCAUUACAGGUGGAAAAGUCAUUCUAUUUCCCCACGACGCCGUAAAGCUCAUUCUCCAUCUCCAAGGCGCCGUAAAAGUCGUUCUCCUACUCCAAGGCGCCAUAAGAGGCAUAGAAGUAGGAGUUCUUCACUGUCUCCUACUCAUAAAUCCUCAAGUCCAAGUCUUUGGUCAUUAGAGCAAAAAAAUGCAAUUGAAAAAUUAAGAAAAGAAGAAGAAGAGAGAAAAAGUUUAUUUGACAUUUUUUCCACAGGCUUUUCUGAAGGAAGAUACUGCUGUAGUUCAACUUGUUAAAUAUGAUGAUCAAAUUGCGUGCCUCAUAUAUCUACUAUUCACCAGUUUUGAAAUUGAUUUGUUUGGAUCAGGAUUCAGUUAGAGGCAUCACCAGGAGGCUGAAUUGAAACUGAUAGAAGAAGAGACGGCAAGGAGGGUAGAAGAAGCUGUUAGGAAGAAAGUUGAAGAGAGUUUGAACUCUUAUGAGAUUAAGCUGGAAAUUCAGAAGCGGUUGGAGGAGGGGCGGAAGAGACUUCUAGAUGAAGUCACAGCUCAACUUGAGAAAGAAAA